rnacentral:rRNA from 1 species
AUUGAACGCUGGCGGUAGGCCUAACACAUGCAAGUCGAGCGAGCGGCGGACGGGUGAGUAAUGUAUGGGGACUGCCCGAUAGAGGGGGAUAACUACUGGAAACGGUGGCUAAUACCGCAUACUAUUGGCUAACCCAUAUGGGAUUAGCUAGUAGGUGGGGUAAAGGCCCACCUAGGCGACGAUCUCUAGCUGGUCUGAGAGGAUGGUCAGCCACGCUGGGACUGAGACACGGCCCAGCCUCCUACGGAGGCAGCAGUGGGGAAUAUUGCAGAAUGGGCGCAAGCCUUAUGAAGCCAUGCCGCAUGUAUUAAGAAGGCCUUAGGGUUAUGAAGUACUUUCAGCGGGGAGGCGUUACCCGCAGAGGAAGCGCCGGCUAACUCCGUGCCAGCAGCCGCGGUAAUAC